AGGACGAACGCUGGCGGCGUGCUUAACACAUGCAAGUCGAGCGAUGCCCUUUCCUUCGGGAGAGGUGCCAUAGCGGCGAACGGGUGAGUAACACGUGGGCAACCUGCCCCUAGCACUGGGAUAACUCCGGGAAACCGGGGCUAAUACCGGAUAUGACCUCCUUGGGCAUCCUUGGAGGUGUAAAGGAUUCUGGCUAGGGAUGGGCCCGCGGCCUAUCAGCUUGUUGGUGGGUAAUGGCCCACCGAAGGCGACGACGGGU
rnacentral:rRNA from 1 species